UUUCCGGACUACGUCGAUUAAACUAUUGGACUACGACCUCGGAAAAAAUGUAAACAACGCGCUGCUGCGUUGCGGGUAUUUUGAUGCACAGAAGAGGAUUUUUCGUCAGUUGCAGCCGGACUAUUUUAUAAUUGACUGAAAAACAAUUUGCCAAAACACUUUUGUUGUGUUGAGGUGUAGAUCUGAUGCCUCAGCCUGUAGUCCUAAAGGAAAAAAAACACUAAAAAGAAACUUCAUCGACCAUCAUCGACUGAAAGAGUUGUGGUCAGCUUGUCGAGUGAGAAUGGCUUGAUCAGAUCAACUGGUAUUAUCAUGGAAUAGCAGUCAGCGUGUCUUGAAAAAUUUCCAGGAGGCAGAUCCGGAUUUCUACCCAGACUUACAGUGUUGCUUCUCGGGCCCUGGAAUCUCUAAAGUCUGUGGAACUGAACAUCAGUUCAACCAAACGAACCAUAAGAACUGUGUACUAUGAAGAAAACCAUCAACUCCGCAAAAUCUAUUUCUGUUGUGCUUUCUCCUGUAACACAGGUAUUGUUUUAUGUUAGCAUUUAAUUAACAGUUGACAGUAGAUGCUACAUGCCAUGAGUGAGGACUGUUUAAAAAUAUUACAAAUUGCAAAAGGAUUCAAGACUUUUUAGGGGGAUUUAUUUUAUGGCUGGUGUGUUGAAAAAGGAAGAGAAAGAGAAGUGGGAGAAGAUAAGAAUAUGAGAGGAAGGGUGAAUAGAGAAACAUGUUAAAUGCUAGUGUUAAAGAAUAAGAAGGAAAACAGAGAAUUUAAAUAGUGUUGUGAGAGAAAUGAGAAUGGAAGGGAGGGUAGAAGAUGUUGGAAGUAAGUAAGGUGUGUAAAUGUUGUUAUAUUGUUAAAUAUUGAUUGAAUAAAACAUUAUGAAUCUA